AGCGAACGCUGGCGGCAGGCUUAACACAUGCAAGUCGAGCGGGCACUUCGGUGUCAGCGGCUGACGGGUGAGUAACACGUGGGAACGUACCCUUCGGUUCGGAAUAACGCUGGGAAACUAGCGCUAAUACCGGAUACGCCCUUCUGGGGAAAGGUUUACUGCCGAAGGAUCGGCCCGCGUCUGAUUAGCUAGUUGGUGGGGUAAUGGCCUACCAAGGCGACGAUCAGUAGCUGGUCUGAGAGGAUGAUCAGCCACACUGGGACUGAGACACGGCCCAGACUCCUACGGGAGGCAGCAGUGGGGAAUAUUGGACAAUGGGCGCAAGCCUGAUCCAGCCAUGCCGCGUGAGUGAUUAAGGCCUUAGGGUUGUAAAGCUCUUUUGUCCGGGACGAUAAUGACGGUACCGGAAGAAUAAGCCCCGGCUAACUUCGUG
rnacentral:rRNA from 1 species